rnacentral:lncRNA from 1 species
CAGAAACUUUGAUAGUGUAAACCAUCCUUUAUAACACUCAGUAAGUUUCCUCAAACAUUUCUUACAAAUCCUUCAAAACUUAGGAUUUACCUAUGCAAAAUUCCUACUGUGAUCACAGAAACUUUGAUAAUGUAAACCAUCCUUUAUAACACUCAGUAAGUUUCCUCAAACAUUUCUUACAAAUCCAGCAAAACACAGAAUUUACCUUUGCAAAAUUCCUACUGCGAUCACAGAAACUUUGAUAGUGUAAACCAUCUUUUAUAACACUCAGUAAGUGUCCUCAAACAUUUCUUAGAAAUCCUUCAAAACUUAGAAUUUACCUAUGCAAAAUUCCUACUGUGAUCACAGAAACUUUGAUAGUGUAAACCAUCCUUUAUAACACUCAGUAAGUUUCCUCAAACAUUUCUUACAAAUCCUUCAGAACUUAGAAUUUACCUUUGCAAAAUUCCUACUGUGAUCACAGAAACUU